AUCCAUCUGACGAGUCUCAAACAGGACGAAAUGCGCAUCCUAGAU
rnacentral:hammerhead_ribozyme from 1 species